rnacentral:rRNA from 1 species
CGCCCGAAGCCGCGAGGCGACGGGCGUUCUCGCCGGAUGUAGGAACCGACCCGGGGACCGCCGGGGCAACCCGGCGCCCCCGAGACGGGGCGAACCACGGUGAAAUGACGGAUCGUCGGCCCCGCGCCGGCGACUCGCCGAAUGAGUUUCUGACCUAUCAACUCGAGACGGCGGGGUAGAGGCCCGCCGCGGUAACGACGGGUAACGGGGAAUCAGGGUUCGAUUCCGUAGAGGGAGCCCGAGAAACGGCUACCACUUCCAAGGAAGGCAGCAGGCGCGCAAACUUACCCUAAUCUCGAUUCGAGGAGGUAGUGACAAGAAAUACCGAUGCGGGACCCUACGAGUGCCGCGUUCGGAAUGAGUACGAUUCGAACCACCUAACGAGGAACGAUCGGAGGGCAAGUCUGGUGCCAGCAGCCGCGGUAAUUCCAGCUCCAAUAGCGUACGUUAAAGUUGCUGC